GGAAAAGCACUGUGGUAUCCCUUAUCGAAAGAUUUUAUGAUCCCACCUCAGGACAACUUAUGCUUGAUGGAAAUGACAUUAAGACACUGAAAUUGAAAUGGCUAAGGCAGCAAAUUGGCCUUGUAAGCCAAGAACCAGCACUUUUCGCAACAAGCAUCAAAGAAAACAUACUAUUAGGAAGGCCAGACGCAACACAAAUUGAGAUCGAAGAAGCUGCUAGAGUUGCCAAUGCCCAUUCUUUCAUAAUCAAACUUCCUGAUGGCUUUGAUACUCAGGUAGGGGAGAGAGGAUUACAAUUAUCGGGUGGACAGAAGCAGAGGAUUGCUAUAGCAAG
rnacentral:misc_RNA from 1 species